rnacentral:rRNA from 1 species
UACGUAGGGUGCGAGCGUUAAUCGGAAUUACUGGGCGUAAAGCGUGCGCAGGCGGUUCGUCGCGUCGGCUGUGAAAACCUGAGGCUCAACCUCAGGCCUGCAGUCGAUACGGGCGGACUUGAGUACUGCAGGGGAGACUGGAAUUCCUGGUGUAGCGGUGAAAUGCGCAGAUAUCAGGAGGAACACCGGUGGCGAAGGCGGGUCUCUGGGCAGUAACUGACGCUGAGGAGCGAAAGCGUGGGGAGCGAACAGG